GGGGACGUAAAUGGUUUCGACGGGGAUCGCGGAGGUCGGAUAAGCGAGCCGAAGCCCCGAGCUUCGAUAAAAUCGGGAAAUUCUAAAUUUAACUGGCGAAACUAAUAAUUUUGCUAUCGCUGCGUAAAUAGCGGCGAUCGUCCGCCGUGCGUUGCCCACGACAUGCGAUACGGGCGUCAUUAAUGUGGGGAACCGACCUGCCUAAGCUUUGCGGCAGGCGAGAUACAUGAAGCUACCGAGAGCAUGAGCCCGCCUUUGGGCGCUUGCUUGAGGGAAGGACAAAACGAAGGCUACGCUCGUAGAAAGUCCUUCUGACGGGUUUUCGGACAGGGGUUCGACUCCCCUCGUCUCCACCA
rnacentral:tmRNA from 2 species